rnacentral:rRNA from 1 species
AGAGCGAACGCUGGCGGCAGGCUUAACACAUGCAAGUCGAGCGGGCGUAGCAAUACGUCAGCGGCAGACGGGUGAGUAACGCGUGGGAACAUACCUUUUGGUUCGGAACAACACAGGGAAACUUGUGCUAAUACCGGAUAAGCCCUUACGGGGAAAGAUUUAUCGCCGAAAGAUUGGCCCGCGUCUGAUUAGCUAGUUGGUGAGGUAACGGCUCACCAAGGCGACGAUCAGUAGCUGGUCUGAGAGGAUGAUCAGCCACAUUGGGACUGAGACACGGCCCAAACUCCUACGGGAGGCAGCAGUGGGGAAUAUUGGACAAUGGGCGCAAGCCUGAUCCAGCCAUGCCGCGUGAGUGAUGAAGGCCCUAGGGUUGUAAAGCUCUUUUGUGCGGGAAGAUAAGUGACGGUACCGCAAGAAUAAGCCCCGGCUAACUUCGUGCCAGCAGCCGC